rnacentral:rRNA from 1 species
AGAGUUUGAUCCUGGCUCAGAAUGAACGUUGGCGGCGUGGAUUAGGCAUGCAAGUCGAGCGAGAACCCGCAAGGGGGACAGCGGCAAACGGGGUAGUAACGGGUAGGUGACGUACCCUUCGGUCGGGGAUAGCCACGGGAAACUGUGGGUAAUACCCGAUAACCUCUUCGAACGUGAUGGUUUGGAGAGCAAAGGUGUGAUUCCACCGGAGGAGCGGCCUGCUUCGUAUUAGCUAGUUGGUGAGGUAACGGCUCACCAAGGCGACGAUGCGUAGGGGGUGUGAGAGCAUGACCCCCACCACUGGGACUGAGAUACUGCCCAGACACCUACGGGUGGCUGCAGUCGAGAAUCUUCGGCAAUGGGCGCAAGCCUGACCGAGCGACGCCGCGUGUGGGAUGAAGGCCCUUGGGUUGUAAACCACUGUCAGAGGGGAUGAA